rnacentral:rRNA from 1 species
UACGAAGGGGGCUAGCGUUGCUCGGAAUCACUGGGCGUAAAGGGCGCGUAGGCGGACUUUUAAGUCGGAGGUGAAAGCCCAGGGCUCAACCCUGGAAUAGCCUUCGAUACUGGGAGUCUUGAGUUCGGAAGAGGUUGGUGGAACUGCGAGUGUAGAGGUGAAAUUCGUAGAUAUUCGCAAGAACACCGGUGGCGAAGGCGGCCAACUGGUCCGAAACUGACGCUGAGGCGCGAAAGCGUGGGGAGCAAACAGG